UCCUCGUUUAAGCGAGGCAGUCUGUCCAGAGUGCUCCUUACUCUCGUAAGGGUGGCAACAUAGGACGGGGGUUGCGCUCGUUGCGGGACUUAACCCAACAUCUCACGACACGAGCUGACGACAGCCAUGCACCACCUGUGAUGGUGUCCCGAAGGAAAACCGUGUUUCCACGGCGGUCACCAACAUGUCAAGCCCAGGUAAGGUUCUUCGCGUUGCGUCGAAUUGAACCACAUGCUCCGCUGCUUGUGCGGGUCCCCGUCAAUUCCUUUGAGUUUUAGCCUUGCGGCCGUACUCCCCAGGCGGGGCACUUAAUGCGUUAGCUGCGGCACGGGAGGAGUCGACACCUCCCACACCUAGUGCCCAUCGGUUACGGCGUGGACUAC
rnacentral:misc_RNA from 1 species